UACGUAGGGUGCGAGCGUUUGUCCGGAAUUAUUGGGCGUAAAGAGCUUGUAGGCGGUUUGUCGCGUCUGCCGUGAAAUUUCGAGGCUCAACCUCGAACUUGCGGUGGGUACGGGCAGACUAGAGUGUGGUAGGGGAGACUGGAAUUCCUGGUGUAGCGGUGAAAAUGCGCAGAUAUCAGGAGGAACACCGAUGGCGAAGGCAGGUCUCUGGGCCACUACUGACGCUGAGAAGCGAAAGCAUGGGGAGCGAACAGG
rnacentral:rRNA from 1 species